GAGGGUAUAGCUCAUUGGUAGGGUGUCUGCUGAGCAUGCACAAGGUCCUGGGUUCAAUCCCCAGUACCUCCA
rfam:Camelus ferus unplaced genomic scaffold scaffold1435, whole genome shotgun sequence.